AUUGAACGCUGGCGGAAGGCCUAACACAUGCAAGUCGAACGAGUGGCGGACGGGUGAGUAAUGUCUGGGAAACUGCCUGCUGGAGGGGGAUAACUACUGGAAACGGUAGCUAAUACCGCAUACCAUCAGAUGUGCCCAGAUGGGAUGAGCUAGUAGGUGGGGUAAGGGCUCACCUAGGCGACGAUCCCUAGCUGGUCUGAGAGGAUGACCAGCCACACUGGAACUGAGACACGGUCCAGACUCCUACGGGAGGCAGCAGUGGGGAAUAUUGCACAAUGGGCGCAAGCCUGAUGCAGCCAUGCCGCGUGUGUGAAGAAGGCCUUCGGGUUGUAAAGCACUUUAAGUUGGGAGGCGUUACCAACAGAAUAAGCACCGGCUAACUUCGUGCCAGCAGCCGCGGUAAUAC
rnacentral:rRNA from 1 species